GUAAAGCAGAAGACUCAAUCCCGAGUCCGGCAGGCCUGGAUUUGCCAGCUCUUCUACUUAGGCUCGUGGAUGUUAUUAUCCAUCUCACAUGUUGAAAACCCUUUUGCGGUGUUUCAUGUGGUGCUGGGAUGAACCCAGGGCUUCACACAUGCUGUGAAGGAGCUCUGCCACUGAGCUGCACUCCUUUUAAGGCUUAAAAACAUGACAGUUUGUAACCCACUCGGUGGCUGGCACAAACGAAGUGCUCACUAAACAUGCUUAUUGGAACUUUUUUUUUUUUCCCCUGGGGGGGUGGGAUCUAACCCUGGAACGCUUUACCACUGAGCCACAUCCCCACCCCUUUUAAAUUUUGAGACAGCCUCACUUAUCUGCGGAGGCUGGCCUCGAACUCGCGAUCCUCCUGUCUCAGCCUCCCGAAUUGCUGGGAUUACGAGGGAGCCACCACGUCCG
rnacentral:lncRNA from 1 species